rnacentral:rRNA from 1 species
UACGGGGGGAGCAAGCGUUGUUCGGAUUUACUGGGCGUAAAGAGCUCGUAGGCGGUCUGUCGCGUCGGUCGUGAAAACCUGCAGCUUAACUGUGGGCGUGCGGUCGAUACGGGCAGACUGGAGUACUGGCAGGGGAGACUGGAAUUCCUGGUGUAGCGGUGGAAUGCGCAGAUAUCAGGAGGAACACCGGUGGCGAAGGCGGGUCUCUGGGCAGUAACUGACGCUGAGGAGCGAAAGCGUGGGGAGCGAACAGG